rnacentral:rRNA from 1 species
GACGAACGCUGGCGGCGUGCUUAACACAUGCAAGUCGAACGGAAAGGCCUGCAGCUUGCUGCGGGUACUCGAGUGGCGAACGGGUGAGUAACACGUGGGUGAUCUGCCUUGCACUUCGGGAUAAGCUUGGGAAACUGGGUCUAAUACCGGAUAGGACAGCUGUUUAGUGUCAGUUGUGGAAAGUUUUUUCGGUGCAAGAUGAGCUCGCGGCCUAUCAGCUUGUUGGUGGGGUAAUGGCCUACCAAGGCGUCGACGGGUAGCCGGCCUGAGAGGGUGUACGGCCACUGUGGGGGUGAUAGACGCCCCGCACCCCGGGGGGGGGCAGGAGGGGGAAAUAUGGAAAAAGGGGGGGAGGCUUGAGGCAGCGGCCCCGGGGGGGGGAGGAGGGCUUGGGGUUUUAAACUCCUUUGCGACAGGAACAAAUUUUUUGGGAGGUUACUUAAAAAAAAAGCCCGGACAAACUACGUC